rnacentral:rRNA from 1 species
GACGAACGCUGGCGGCGUGCCUAAUACAUGCAAGUCGAGCGGAAAGAUGAGGAGUUUGCUCCUUUCACGUUAGCGGCGGACGGGUGAGUAACAUGUGGAUAAUCCACCUAUAAGACGGGGAUCACUUCGGGAAACCGGAGCUAAUCCCGGAUAAUAUCUUGAACCGCAUGGUGCAAUAGUAAAAGACGGCUGUGCUGUCUCUUAUCGAUGGAUCCGGGCGGCAUUAGCUAGUUGGUACGGUAACGGCUUUCCAAGGCAACGAGGCGUAGCCGACCGGAGAGGGUGAUCGGCCGCACGGGAGCUUGAACAGGGACAAGACUCCUGCGGGAGGGAGCAGUAGGGUAUCUUCCGCAAUAGGCGGAAACCUUACGGAGCGGCGCCGCGUGAGAGGUGACGGUCUUCGGAGCGUGAAGCUCGGUUAUUAGGGAAGAACAGAUGUGUAAGUAACUAUGCACGUCUUGACGGUAACUGGUCAGAAAGCCACGGCUAACUACGUG